rnacentral:tRNA from 1 species
GACUCCAUAGUGUAGUGGUUAGCACGUCUGCUUUACAUGCAGAAGGUCCUGGGUUCAAGCCCCAGUGGAACCA